GGUAAGAUGGUCGAGACAUUAGGCGAUAGACUGUAAAUCUAUAUAGGAGAAAUUAGAAUUCUCUUUUACCG
rnacentral:tRNA from 1 species